GAUAUCUUGCAAUACGAGUAGUAUGUGACGCCGACAGUCACAUGAUCACAACUGAGCCAAUGGUUCUUCUCUCUCUCUCUCUCUCUCUCUCUCUCUCUCUCUCUCUCCCACUGAGGGAUUGUGGGUGAUUGUCAAUGCAAUGUCACAUUUCCGUGAAAUCCUCAAAAGGAGGCAAAAGCAAGUGUCAUUGGAUAGGUUCCUUGUUAAAGUUGCAUGAAAAGAGAAAGAUUCCAUUGAGCCAAUAGAUGGCAGUGAUUCCGUUAAUGAUAGUGAAAGUCGUCCUACGUAAUAACCCUCUUCUCUCUUGUCUCCCUCACACCAGCCAUGAAGGUUUUCAAAGGAAAUAUGACUCGAAAAUAUCUUAGAGUGUCAUGAAAGCUGAAGGACAAAGCUAAAAUCCACCUAAGAGCACACCAAACAGGAUCAACAAGAAUUGAAGAUGCCUGUCCUGUUUCAAAAGCAAGGGGAGGAGCCCAAGGCAGAUCUGUUAUCAUUUGUCUUUCUUCUUCAUUACAAGAAAAGAAAAAGAAAAGGAGAAAAGUUGGAAAGCGGCUCAGUAAAAGAAAGAAAGGACUGACCACCCUUUCCGAUAGCAGGAACUGAAAGUUGUCUGUUACCUGUAACCCUUCGGUUUAUGGUACCUGCAGGAAAAACCAUCUUCACAUCAAAGUCAGUGAGAGGUACUGAUAGAUCAGUGCUAUAAAUUGCCUCCAAAGGAAAAGACAGAGAACAUGAGUAUACAAAGCCUAUAAAAGAAUCAAGACAUUGCCACAAGUAGAAAUGGAAUGUAUAGCACUGAAUCAACUCCAUGGGGAUUCAAUAACACCAACAGCCGAACCUUCGUUAGGUAACUCCUACAUAUGCACUAGGUAGCCUACAUAUGGAGCUUGGCACAGAGCAUCGUGGAAAGAUAUAAAUGAUAACAUUUCGCAGGUGCAGGACUUUUAUUUUGUGUUGCUACUGAUUUUAAGUUUCCAACUCCUCUGUUAAUUAAAAGUAUGAAAGGGGUGCCUGAGUAGCUAAGUGGGUUAAGCAUGUGACUCUUGGUUUCAGCUCAAGUCAUGAUCUCACAGUUCAUGGGUUCGAGCCCCGCGUCAGGCUCUGCAAUUAUAGUGCAGAGCCUGCUGAGGAUCCUCUCUCUCCCUUUCUCCCUCUGUUCCUCCCCUACUCGCUCUCUAUCCCUCUCUCUCUCUCUCUCUCUCCUCUCUCUCUCUCUCUCAAAAUAAAUAAAUAAACAUUUAAAAUGUUUUGAAGUGUGAAAGAGUAGGAGGAAUGAAGGGAAAGAGAGAAGGAAGGGAAGAAAGAAUAGGAAAAUGAGAGAAAGAAAAAGUGUCUCCAAUGUUAGAUAUCACAGUUCAUCAGAACUGCAAACACUUGGGGUCCAUGCACAGCAGUGAUAACUUGGUUCCACUUCCACUGAAUCACUUCUGGAAAUGAGUCCUGAAGACUCGUGUUAUAUACUGCUGAAUAACAGAUUAACCCACUCCCCAAAAAUGAGUAGCUUAAAACGCCUGUGGUCAGGGCUCUGGAGAUGACUUAACUGGGCCUUCUGCUUCACAAUCUCCCACAAGACUGCAGGCAAGGUGUCCAUGAAGGCUGGAUCUCAUCCAAAGGCUCACUUAUGGAAGGAUCUGCUUCCCAACUAACACAUGGGAUUGUUGGCACGAUUCGUUUCCUUGAGGGAUGUUGAACUGAGGGCUUCAGUUCCCUGCUGUCCUCGGGUCUUCUCUCCUAGGGCAGGAGAGCCUCCCUCCUAUGGCAGCUCACUUCAUCAAAAUCAGUGAGAGAGAGAGAGAGACAGAGAGACAGAGAGAGACAGAGACUUCUAGCAAGACAGAAGUCACAAUCUUUUGCAAACUAAGCAAGGAAGUGACACCCCUCUAAGUUGCCAUAUUAUAUUAGUUAGAGAGCAAUUUCACAAGUGGAAGGGAUUACACAAGACACGAAUGCUAGAAGGGAAGAUAAUCAGGGGCUAUCUUAGAGGCUGCCUGCCACAGCUUGGCAAUCUACUCCCCUUUCCUUUGUUUACGAAUUUUUUUCUGUCUCAUCUCUAUUCAGAUUACCACAAAACUCCAAAACAGUCAGGUCUAAAAGGAUAAAAGUUUAUUUUGAUUCUAAAUUUGCAUUCCUUGGAAGAGUUGGUAGUACAGAAGCAGUAGGUUGAUGAGGAGAAAGCACGAGUACCAGGCCCAGUUCCGGAAAUAUACUGGCUAUAAGAUUUUAUCCAUGAAUCUGAUUUUCUGACUUGUUCAUCUUUGAAAUGGGCACAAUUACGUUUUCUCUGCUCAUCUCGCAUAAUGAUUACGAGGACCAAGAAAUAUCCUGUGUGUGAGUGUUUCCAAAACACAGUAACGUAGGGCAAGAGGUACUUCCCAUGACUAUAGGUGGUAUAUGGACUGGAGGUGGAACUUUUUUAAGGUAUUUGUUUUUAGAGUGCAUUAGAAAAAUAUAACUUGCACAGCGAAUCCAUGAUUUUAUAGCUAAAGUUGUUUAAAUGGGACUUCAAUAAAGUUGGAAAAAAGGCAAGUCAAUUUGAAGAAAACUAUUAAGAAAAUAAUGAUAGAUGGUCUAAGAAUGGGGCAAACAUUAUGAAGGUGAUAUACAAAUAACUGCAUAAAAUGUAAACUGCUCCACAAAUGCAUCCAAUCUUGUGCAUUGACUCAUGCUCCAUGAUUCUGGUUUAAGAAGGAAACUAGAUACAUUCUUUACUGCCAGCAGAGUAAGCCUAAAUACAAUGGUGAAAGAGAUGACCACAUGAAAAUCCAAUCCCAAGUGCUUUGCCUACAAAGAAUCCUUCCCAUGUUAUUAAUAAAACACUUAUAUCAUUUUUUCCCCUGAUGCAUUUUCUUUCCUAGCAAUGUAUUAAUAAUAAUUCGAGUUUAUUAGGAGCUUACUGUAUGCUAACAUCUAUAUAUAUACAUUGUAUACAUAUAAUGUGUAUAUAUAUAAUGUGUAUAUAUAUAAUUCCAAUUAAUACUUCUCCUAUGAGGAAGGUUGUGUUAUAGCUUAUAUUUAAGGAAACUGAAGCCUAAAGAGGUUAAAUAACUUGGCCAAAAUCACUCAGCUGGAAAGUUAACAGAGCUAGAAUUUAAACUCAGUUUUACCUAACUCCAAAGCCCAUGUUAAUGUUACUCCGCCAGUAAAGUUUAAAAGGACUGAACUUCUCACUAUGCCCAUACUUCACCCUUUUCUACUUCUUACACUUUUACAUUUGUGCAUUGCAAUAUUUUUUUCUGGAGCAUGGGAAAAUACGUCCACACCAGAGCAUUCAAAACAAGGUCAGAGAAUGAGUCACCGUGUGCCAAACACCCAGACACUAAACACACACUAAACAGAAUAAGAGAACCAACCACCUACUGGCCCAAACUCUCACCCCACUCAUUCCCAGGGGCAGAGGAGCAAACAAAAAGAUAAGGAAGGGCUCCUUCCCAGGCAGAGAUGUGUCAUUCACCACUUCCGGUAUGACCUCCCAGCCAAGGACAAUGCUAUACACAAAGAAGAAGCGCAUGGACUCUAAACGCCCAGUGAGCUGUUUAACUGCACAGUCUGUCCUCAAAAGAAGACGAUACCUCACUUUUGCUUUUUUCCAAAUGACAUGUAAGUUUUGGCUGAAACCAUGUAU